rnacentral:pre_miRNA from 5 species
UCUUGUGAAUGAGCAAAGAAAGUGGUUUCUUGAGAUGGAAUCUACUCCUGGUGAAGAUGCUGUGUA